rnacentral:rRNA from 1 species
UACGUAGGGUGCAAGCGUUGUCCGGAAUUAUUGGGCGUAAAGAGCUCGUAGGCGGUCUGUCGCGUCGGCUGUGAAAACCCGGAGCUCAACUCCGGGCCUGCAGUCGAUACGGGCAGACUGGAGUUCGGCAGGGGAGACUGGAAUUCCUGGUGUAGCGGCGAAAUGCGCAGAUAUCAGGAGGAACACCGGUGGCGAAGGCGGGUCUCUGGCCCGAUACUGACGCUGAGGCACGAAAGCGUGGGGAGCAAACAGG